GCCUGGGUAGCUCAGCUGGUUAGAGCAUGGUGCUGAUAACACCAAGGUUGCAGGCUUGAUCCCCACGUGGGACA